rnacentral:tRNA from 1 species
GGGGCCUUAGCUCAGUUGGUAGAGCGCUACGCUGGCAGCGUAGAGGUCAUCGGUUCGACCCCGUUAGGCUCCACCA